rnacentral:rRNA from 1 species
UACGGAGGGUGCAAGCGUUGUCCGGAUUUAUUGGGUUUAAAGGGUGCGUAGGUGGCCUUAUAAGUCAGUGGUGAAAUUCUGUAGCUUAACUAUAGAACUGCCAUUGAUACUGUAGGGCUUGAGUGUCGUUAAGGCAGGCGGAAUUUAUGGUGUAGCGGUGAAAUGCAUAGAUACCAUAAAGAACACCGAUAGCGAAGGCAGCUUGCUUAGCGGCAACUGACACUGAUGCACGAAAGCGUGGGUAGCGAAC